UCGCGCGCCGCCGCCUCCGCCGCCGCUUGAGCCCAACAUGGCGAUGCACAACAAGACGGCGCCGCCGCAGAUCCCAGACACCCGGCGGGAGCUGGCCGAGCUGGUGAAGCGGAAGCAGGAGCUGGCGGAAACGCUUGCAAACUUGGAGAGACAGAUCUAUGCUUUUGAAGGAAGCUACCUGGAAGACACUCAGAUGUAUGGCAAUAUUAUCCGUGGCUGGGAUCGGUAUUUGACAAAUCAAAAAAACUCCAAUAGCAAAAACGACCGGAGGAACCGGAAGUUCAAGGAGGCCGAGCGUCUCUUCAGCAAAUCCUCAGUCACGUCGGCUGCUGCAGUAAGUGCCUUGGCAGGGGUUCAGGACCAGCUCAUCGAAAAGAGGGAACCAGGAAGUGGGACGGAAAGCGACACUUCCCCAGACUUCCACAACCAGGAAAACGAGCCCGCGCAGGAGGACCCUGAAGACCUGGAUGGCUCCGUUCAGGGAGUGAAGCCUCAGAAAGCUGCCUCUUCCACCUCCUCAGGGAGCCACCACAGCAGCCACAAAAAGCGGAAGAAUAAAAACCGGCACAGUUCUCUGAGUAUGCUGCCUUCAGAUACGGGGAAACACUUAAAGCUCCUAAAUGCGGGCAUUCCUUCGUAGGAACCUUCUGAGCACUGUUACUUUUGGAGUGGGAAAUGAGAUGGGAAUGACACCAGUGGACAGAGAGGUCAGGUGUCUCAGGGGACUUAGUGCCGCUCUGCCUGGGUUUGUAUGCUACCGCUGGGCCUUAACUCAGGGUAAUGAAGUACCUAGAGCAAGGGGCUCUCCCUCACCCUGGGUUUGGAAGCCUGAACACUGUGGGGUCAAAGGGGCACAGGGCUGUGUGGGGCUGGCUCCCUAUCCUCUGGUUGGCUGUGACCCGUGUUGCUUUAGAAACCUGUGGGGGUGUCCCCUCCUGCACCUAAGGUGUUACACUGUGACCUUCACCUGCCCGGCACUGUGGAUAUUAUAGAGUUAAAUUUAACUGGUUUCAACCUCUUUGGCAUCAACAGAUUCUUGAAUUCUUUUAAACUUUUCUUGUUCUUUUAAAUUGCAGAAAUAGUAUUUUCCCCCAAUAAAUAGUGAUGAAGGAUUACCGCUUUAUGUUUUUCUACAAACCAAAAACCACUGUGCUAACCUCUCAAACGAUAGUGAGAAGCAGCAAGACUUAUCCCCUACCCCUCUGGUAUGUAUAUUAGGUUAGGCUGGGAAGUUUUUUUAAAAACAGAAAAACGUGAUGGAGGAUUGAUCUGAAGUUAAACAAAAAGCCCCGAGCUGACUAUUAGAAGACUUGCUAGCAGGAGCUUCCCCUCUGACCUCACAGCGACAAACGUCCCUCGCCUGACUGUGCCAUCUGCCUCUGCCCCCCAGACCCAGUGCCUGUAACUGGCUCGUCUGUCCUAACUGUAGUGACAAGUCCUCCCUAGGAGACUUUGGGUCGUUCGCUGUCCAUCGUUAGUUGAACCUCGGGGAGACCUGUCCUCGGUCCCGGUCCCUGCGGGCGGCUAACUGUGCAUUUCUCCCUUCUUAGAAUGAAUGUCUCCCCCCAAACUGGCUGGCACCAGCUCCAUCUGUGACCCCCCAUCGAGGAGUGCACACCUCUGGUUUUGUGUUACGCGGAAAGUAGAGCCCAAGGUCCACUGCAGAUGGAGGCUGUAAAUAAUCUCCAUUCUCCUGUUUUGUUCCGUGUCGUAUUGUGUUUUUUUUUUUUUUUUAUUGUUGUUUUUGCCAUCUGAUUUACUUUUGGGCCAUUGUGUGAUGCCUGUACCUUCCUGAUGACAUAUCUGAUUGUCUGUUUCAUGUGGUGUUGAUAUUCACAACUGAAACUAAAGUGGCUUUUAGAAGGAAAUGGGCAACUCGGCCCUCUGGCUUCGUGAUUUCUUCAGGGGGAAGGUAGAGAGCGUUUAAUGACGGAUGGCCUAUUUGUUUGAGGGACAAGAAAGCUGAAAAGCACGCGCUGAAGCCCCCCUGUUGGAAUAGACUCUUUGUAGAAAUAACAUUCCCCGGCUCUCAUCUCUCACACAUUCCUUCCACCCCCGAGACACUCUCCUCUUUAUUUUACUACUACCGCGCCUGUCGGAGAGUUUCCUUUUCCAUCUCUUCUCUUUUUGUUAACGUUCACCUGCUUAGAUAUUGCUCCAAAAAUCGCCAAGCCAGUAGAGAAGCCCAGAAUUACUGAAACUCAGCUAACACUGAGUAGAGUGAAAUCCUCACAGGAGCCAGCACUGCCCACAGAUGUCCCUCCCUGCACAGCUCAUUCCAUGCCCCGUUCUCAAUGAGUGGCCUUGGCUGCACUUUGCAGUCACCUGGGAUUCCAACCCCAGAACUCUAGGGUAUGCCUUGGUGGUGAGGUUCUAGCACAGAGUUCAAGAUGCAGAGCCCCACAGCAUUGGACCAGGCCGAGGGGUAAGAUUCAGGGCCCUGCCCGUCCUCUGACGUCUGUCCACAGUCCUCCCGGACACCUGGGUCUUUGUAGGAGACUUGGGCCACUGUGGUCAUGCUGUUGGCGGAAAUGGCUGACCUCUUACCAGAACCACCCUGUGAGAUGUGCAAAAGCCUUUCAUUUUGUUCUUAAACACUCCUAUUUUCUUUGAUGAGUUCCUGAUCAUGGGCUUUGUCUCUGUCAGCAGUUGGUAAGGAAGUCGUUUAUAAUAUGUAGAUUAAAUCUCAGGCACAUUUUGUCAGU